GGAGAGGGUGGGGGAGCCCGUCCCGGUCGCCGCGGUUCGCCGCCGCCCCUGGUGGCGGUCCGGCGACCGGCCCACCAUCGCUCCAGCGCCCCUCCU